rnacentral:rRNA from 1 species
GACGAACGCUAGCGGCGUGCUUAACACAUGCAAGUCGAACGGUAAGGCCCUGCGCUUGUGGCGGCGUCCAGUGGCGUAAGGGGGAGUAACACGUGCGUAUCUUGGCGUUGACGUCCGGAUAAAUUCAGGAAAAUACGGCAUAUACUGAGAACGAGGUCCUGCUCACUGAUUGGGGCUGCAGCGGUUCGGCGGUUGGGGGUGGACUCGCGGCUUGUCGGCUUGUUGGUGGCGCAGUGGGUUGCCAAGGCUUUGACGGGUAGCCGGCCUGAGAGGGUGACCGGCCACAUUGGGACUGAGAUACGGCCCAGACUCCUACGGGAGGCAGCAGUGGGGAAUAUUGCACAAUGGGCGGAAGCCUGAUGCAGCAACGCCGCGUGCGGGAUGACGGCCUUCGGGUUGUAAACCGCUUUCGCCUGUGACGAAGCGUGAGUGACGGUAAUGGGUAAAGAAGCACCGGCUAACUACGUG